rnacentral:misc_RNA from 1 species
GAUCCGGUUGUUGGUAGCCGAAGGUCUGAUACAAGAAAAAACAGGACAUAUGUUGGAGGACAUAGCAGAGGAAAACAUAAAUGAGCUGGUCAGACAGGGAAUGCUUAAAGUGAAGGAUGAACACCUGGAGCAUGGAACCAAAUUCACUGUUUCUUCUCCAUAUCGCAAUUUCAUUGGUGAAAAUUUUGUAAGUACUCUUGCCAAUUCAGAUUUGACCAUCCCCCAUACAGCACGCCAUGUUUUAACAUCAGACAUGAUGAAAACUGGGCACAGUUUAAAAAAUCUCCAACCUCGUUCUUUAUUCUUGUUUGGGAAUCAAGAUCAUUUGGAAGGAACUUGGCUGGAUUUGACAUGGGCAAAGUUUUUACGGGUGCUAGAUCUAGAAGACACCAAAAUCCAGAGUUUACCAGAUGAAGUGGGAGACCUAAUUCACCUGACAUAU